AUGACCUCGCGUCUUCGCACCGAAGUGAGAGCCACACUCGGACGCCGGAGGAGCAGGACUGAGCGGAGGCGGUCGGUCUUCCCGACUCUCCCUGCGGCCGUGUCCUUAGUGCUGUUAGAAGGCCCCCCACCCCCACGGCUCCACCCCCAGUCAACCCAGGCCUCCGUCAGGGCCACCUGUCACCCCGAGUGCCACCAGAUCCCCUCUGCCUUUGGUCCAGAAGAAUGCCUCUGCACACUGCAGACGGUGCCUCCCCUCUCCUAUGGGCCCACGUCGGGGGCAGGCAGCAGCGGGUCCGGCCUUGCUGCUGUCCUCGAGGCCAGUGACAACUGGCUUCCCAAGGAAGGAGGUGCCAGGGGUCCUGGACAGGACCUGGUGUUGGGCAGGGCGGUGCCAGCACUGGGGAAGGACCAGGAGCCCUCCCGGAGCCCCGCCCUGCACCUGCCGCUGGGGUCAGAGGGGUGUGGGGCCGUUGGAGGGACGGCUGGGCGGCCAGUGGAAGGACUGGAAGUCUCUGCUGUUUGGGGAGGUCUGGCCUCCAGUCCUGAGGAGUGUGUGCGGAUUGUUCUAAGUGUGACUAUGACCCGGGAGCCAGGGCAGCAUGAACGCCUUUCUCUGAAAUUUUGAGGCCUCCUUGGGUUCCCUGAACCCUGGGCUGGCGUUCCCAGGACCCAGCACCAGGAGACCCCAGUCCCGCCAGCACCGCCGCGCUACCCGGGAGGGCUGGGCGAUGUUGGUGCCGCCUCCUACCAGCUCCCCUCCUCUCCCACCGCCUCUUGUCACUGCCAAGCCCCCCGUUCAUUUUGCCCAAAUCACGCAGGCUGAAGCUGCAGUGCCAGCUGGAGGGACAUUCGCAGGGCUUCCCGUGCCCAUCCCUGCUUCCAGACAGCUGGACAGCCUCCCCUUUACCCCCACCCCGGUGAGCCCCUGGGGGCCAGAGAAAGAUGGGGUUCCCGCAGCUUCCCAGCUCCACCUCUGAACUUGAGUUAGCAUUAGCUAAGCAUACAAUCAGUGUCCAACGUCUCUCUUCCUUAGCUUGUAGAUACGACUGUCUGUAACCAGGGGACCCCUGCUGGAAGCCGGGAGGCCAAUGCUGGCUGGGUGCGAGGGCAUGGUUUGGUUCCUUUAGGGAAUUUUUGUUCUGCAAACAGGAAAAACCUGUGCUGCAGGUGGGAGUGGCAGGAGCGACUGGCCUUGGUCAGCAGGCAGGCCCCAGCCCAGGACCACAGUGCUCUUCAGGGCCUGGGCAGCCCCCGUUUCUGGCCCAGCAGGUUUCUCUUUCUAGUGUCUUUCAGCACAUCCAAAAUGCUAGGCCUCCCGCCACCAACGUGUCAGAGCAAUGUCCAACUGUCAGGCGCUCAGAGAUGCCUCAGUUUCCCUAGCGUGAGCACCAGCUGACACACACAGUCCACUGAGAUGAGAAUUCUGUUCUCUCCAAAGCAAAAAGCCGGGCGAGGGGAAGUUUCAAUUUCUGUCAGUGCUCAAAGGAGUAACACCAAAAGAAUCAACACAAAAUCUCCCAGACACACGUGACCCAGCUCACGGCGCCGUGGGUCCGUAGGAGGGACAGCACCUCGCAGCAGGCCCAGCGGGGGACCACCUCUCUGUACAAUUGGAACGUGUUUUGCUUUUCUUUUCUCUCCUUUUUUCAUUCUGAUUUUUUUUUUUUUUUUGCAUGUUUCUUUUUGAAAAUGGACAAAAUGUGCAGCAGCCCGCAUGACCACAGUUGUUUUGGGGAAAGAUACUGAAGUAUGAUGUACUCACACCUGCAAAUCUGAGCAUCACGACGUUAGACAAACGUUCCACCUUUUUUUGUAAUCGUCAACAGCACAACUAUUUUGUAUUGUUGUUUGUAUCAUUUUGUACCAAAAAAAAAAAAAGGAAAAAAAAAGGGAAGCGAGUUGAUGUUUUCAGUGUGUUUCUAGUGCCAGACAGUCUUGGUCCCGAACUGAGUGGACUCUUGUGGAGCGGCUGUGCGCCGGCAGGCGGGGCAGAGUGGACCCUUGCGGAGCGGCUGUGCGCGGGCAGGCGGGGCGCGCUGCUCCAGAGACUGAAUA